GUCCAAAUCAUAUUUCUCCAUAAAAAAAAUAAUAAUGCAAAAAAAUAAAAUAAAGAUUAUGAAGCCUAAAUUUGAGCCUGAGAUUUUGUGCAUUGCAUCACUAUAUUCAUGACAGAUGUGAAUUUGAAUUAUGGCGAAUGUGCCGAUCAAAACCACAUGCGAGGAAGACGCAGAAAUGAGUGAUCUCCUAUGCAUGCAUAUGAAAAACAAUGUGAUCCUCAACAAUAAACAGCAUAUAGAUUUAUAAUUAUGCAAGUAGUUUCUAUCAGCUGUGAAUAGAUUUUUUUCUUUUGUUCAACACAGUGAAUCCAAUAGAGUUUGGGGCCUUUCAAUGAGAUCUGUGGUAACUGUUUUGAAAAAGGGUGUGAAAAAUGUGUGAAACAAAUGAAAAAGUGUUAAAACAUUUGCAAGAGAAGACUUCUGCUGUGCUAAUAAUGUGAUGAUGAAGAUCAAGCAGAUCCCAGUUUCAUUUAGUGUGUCUUAGCAAAUGAGAAAAACUGUAAUAGCUGAAGUUUUGUUCCCAAACACUAUGUAAAUAAGUUUUAGUUUAUCUUUUUAGUGAUCUUCAUCAGUAUUUUUGAUCUUGUUUGAUCAGUUCCAAUAUCUAAACAUGUAAUUUAAAUCAAUACAUAUUUACUUGAGAAGCAAAAUGACUUGAAGUCUUGUUUUCUGAAAAACUGAUCAAAAUGAAAUGUGUUUUAUGAUUAAAACAAUAACUAAUAUCGCCCAAUGGGCAGAAAAUUAACUUAAUUCAAACAGAAAACAGUUUUCAUUCCACAUUGACAGAUAUUUGUUCUUGUUUUAAACAUAAACUCACUUCAUUUUGUUCAGUUUCUCAGAAAGCUAUCUUUAUUUUGCAUCUCAAGUAAAUGUAUCUUAUUUUAAGGAUGUUUAGAUACAGUAUUUGUAAUUGCAAACAAGACAAAAGAUAUAAGUUUUUUUUAAGUGCAUGCAACACUUAAUGCCAUGACUUUAUGAAUUAAAGAUGUUCUGCUCUGAUUUAAGGCCUUCAUUUAGUGAAUUAAGAUUUUUUUAAGACCUGCAUAAACCCUGUGAAUAUGAAUAUUAUACUGUCAUCAAACUAGAUUUAAAAAGCUUAAAAGGUGAAGUCUGCAUUAAAGUGAGCCAGGAUACACUUCAUCUUGAAAUUUCACAGCUCAACAGUCCACAGAUGCAUUUACAUGCACAA
ensembl:lncRNA